CACUGCUUGAACGUAUUAGGAUUCUCCUUUAUCCGUUGCUAAUGCUGAAGAUUAGGAAGUGGACAGAGGCGUUAACAGUGUAUAUGUCUUAAAAAACAUAAACAGCUUCUCUGGAAGGCAUUUUGGAGGCAACAUUGCAAAGAGACUCCUUCUCUGUCUCUCUGUACAUUUAAAAUGCCAUCUGUUUCUCAGACCACUAAGUAUCUGAAUCCCACAGACAUAUCUGUAGUUCUGAUCAACAUUCCUCUGUUGAGAAGACAAGAAACUGUUGCCCAAUAUCAUGUGCGCCAUUGAAGAGAAAGGCCAACCGAGAGAUGCUGGAGAAGUGUUAGAUGUUGUCGUUUUAAAACAACUUCAUUAUGUUCCAAAGCCUGUGGGAAUUAAUUGUGCGAAGAGGUUAUUGUACCACCUGUUUUGAAAAGACAAUUGUGUGCAGUUGUGGUCCUGGAAAGCUGGAUGGAUUUUAGCUCACAUUGUGAAUAAGAAAUAGCACCCUUUUGAACACUGCAAGGGAAAAAAAAAUCUAUGGAAAUGGAAUGACGCUUUGCUUUUGUGAAGGUUAAUUAAUCCCUGGAUGGUAGCCACUGUAUUUCUUGAACUGAGCUGAGCUCUGCAUUGACAAUUUCUACUUUUUCCUCUAGUGUAAUUGAAGUUUUGAGUCAAUGCUAGGAACAAAUGCUUCCCACCUAUGCCCUUUCUUGGUUAUUGCUGCUGCUAAGAGUUCCAAGGGUGACAAGUUACCCAUCCUUGUCAUAGGAGACAAACAACAUUUGCAGUUGGCCGCAGAUAACUGCAAGAACUGGAGAAGAGGAAAUAGAAAAUCAUGCCUUUGUGAUCCACAGGCCUGUAUAUUUAUUUUAUUGUAUGCUGCUUUUCUCCCCAUAGGUUCAUUGGUAUGGUGUCAGCCAGUUGCUUCCUUAUAUCUGUUGGAAAUGACUGGGUGCAACUAGCUUAUACAGUACUCAAGAAGAUGCAUGUCCUUGCAUGGGAAAGAUACAAAGAGGACUUGCUCAGGUUUCCUAGACUGUUCUUUACCUGUUCUGACCUGUCCUUUGACCUUAGAUUGCUGUUCUUCAGGUUGCUGAUGUCACUUCCUUUCUCUUCACACCUCUCUUUUGUCCUUCCAAGGAGGAGAGAUCUUGUUCUGUAGAGAUG
rnacentral:lncRNA from 1 species